rnacentral:rRNA from 1 species
CCAGACUCCUACGGGAGGCAGCAGUGAGGAAUAUUGGUCAAUGGGCUAAGGCCUGAACCAGCCAAGUCGCGUGAGGGAAGACGGUCCUAUGGAUUGUAAACCUCUUUUGUCGGGGAGCAACGAGGCCACGUGUGGCCGAAGUGAGAGUACCCGAAGAAAAAGCAUCGGCUAACUCCGUGCCAGCAGCCGCGGUAAUACGGAGGAUGCGAGCGUUAUCCGGAUUUAUUGGGUUUAAAGGGUGCGUAGGCGGAAUAUCAAGUCAGCGGUAAAAAUUCGGGGCUCAACCCCGUCGUGCCGUUGAAACUGAUGUUCUUGAGUGGGCGAGAAGUAUGCGGAAUGCGUGGUGUAGCGGUGAAAUGCAUAGAUAUCACGCAGAACUCCGAUUGCGAAGGCAGCAUACCGGCGCGCAACUGACGCUCAUGCACGAAAGCGUGGGUAUCGAACAGGAUUAGAUACCCUUGUA